CAAGUCUGGUGCCAGCAGCCGC
rnacentral:siRNA from 1 species